AUCUAUGGGCGGGUGAUGGCAGGGAGACCUUCGGGUCUGCCGGUUUCCUAUGGGCCGGUUCGCCAACCUUGUCAUUCGCCCGCUCACCCCA
rnacentral:antisense_RNA from 19 species